CUAAUAAACCAGCUGCCCUCCUCUUCCAAUCCAAUCCCCUGCUUGUCCAGACUGGGCUGGCACACCCUCGGCACCGUCACUGCAGGAGAUAGGAGGAUUGGAGGAUUGGUCCGUUUCCUGUCCUGAUCCUCCGCCUAGCCUCGAUUUGGCCGGACAGAGGAGGAAAAACACUUUGGGGAUUUCUAGAACAAAAGCUUCAACGGCUCAGAGUGAAGACUUUAGUGCCGAGGACUCGCGCGGCUGUGAAUGAGGAUUAAAAGUGAUAGUUCUUGCACAACCCAUAGGAAUGUCUCAGGUUGUUGCCUUGCAAAAGAACAGGCUGCCCAACUAAGGAUGAUCCUGGUGGAGAACGGCAUGUUUCUGAAGUAUACUGAGUA
ensembl:lncRNA